UUCCGGUUGAUCCUGCCGGAGGUUACUGCUAUCGAGGUUCGACUAAGCCAUGCGAGUCGAAUGUAGCAAUACAUGGCGUACUGCUCAGUAACACGUGGACAACCUACCCUCCGGACGGGUAUAAACCCGGGAAACUGGGUAUAAUCCCCGAUAGAUCUCGGUCGCUGGAAUGCCCCGAGAUCGAAAGCUCCGGCGCCAGAGGAUGGGUCUGCGGCCUAUCAGGUAGUAGUGGGUGUAGCGUACCUACUAGCCUACGACGGGUACGGGUUGUGAGAGCAAGAGCCCGGAGAUGGAUUCUGAGACACGAAUCCAGGCCCUACGGGGUGCAGCAGGCGCGAAAACUUUACAAUGCCGGCAACGGCGAUAAGGGGACCUCGAGUGCCAGGUUACAAAUCUGGCUGUCGUGAUGCCUAAAAGGCAUUGCAUAGCAAGGGCCGGGCAAGACCGGUGCCAGCCGCCGCGGUAACACCGGCGGCUCGAGUGGUAACCGUUAUUAUUGGGUCUAAAGGGUCUGUAGCCGGCCGGAUAAGUCUCUUGAGAAAUCCAGCAGCUCAACUGUUGGGCUUUCAGGAGAUACUGUUCGGCUCGAGGCCGGGAGAGGUGAGAGGUACUUCAGGGGUAGGGGUGAAAUCUUGUAAUCCUUGAAGGACCACCAGUGGCGGAGGCGUCUCACCAGAACGGACCUGACGGCAAGGGACGAAAGCUAGGGGCACGAACCGGAUUAGAUACCCGGGUAGUCCUAGCCGUAAACGAUACUCGCUAGGUGUCGGCCACGGUGCGACCGUUGUCGGUGCCGUAGGGAAGCCGUGAAGCGAGCCACCUGGGAAGUACGGCCGCAAGGCUGAAACUUAAAGGAAUUGGCGGGGGAGCACCACAACGGGUGGAGCUUGCGGUUUAAUUGGAUUCAACGCCGGG
rnacentral:rRNA from 1 species